rnacentral:rRNA from 1 species
CCUACGGGUGGCAGCAGUGGGGAAUAUUGCACAAUGGGGGAAACCCUGAUGCAGCGACGCCGCGUGAGUGAGGAAGUAUUUCGGUAUGUAAAGCUCUAUCAGCAGGGAAGAAAAUGACGGUACCUGACUAAGAAGCACCGGCUAACUACGUGCCAGCAGCCGCGGUAAUACGUAGGGGGCAAGCGUUAUCCGGAUUUACUGGGUGUAAAGGGAGCGUAGACGGUUAAUCAAGUCAGAAGUGAAAACCCAGGGCUUAACCAUGGAACUGCUUUGGAAACUGUGCAGCUGGAGUGCAGGAGAGGUAAGCGGAAUUCCUAGUGUAGCGGUGAAAUGCGUAGAUAUUAGGAGGAACACCAGUGGCGAAGGCGGCUUACUGGACUGUAACUGACGUUGAGGCUCAAAAGCGUGGGGAGCAAACAGGAUUAGAUACCCUUGUAGUC